GUCCUAGUCCUAUUUGAACCUUGGACGACCCCCGGGGCUACCAGGAGUGAGCAGGUGGAAGGAGGAGACCCAGCCUCCUGAUCGUGGGGCGGGGGUGGGGGUCACACCUUCUGUGAUGGAGGAACUCAGUUUGGAUGCGUCACCCAGGUAUGACCUUGCAAGAGUCACCAAAAUUGCCGAGAGGCCCCAGUUAGCAUCCCAUUCCCAGAUGAUGGUCCAUGCCGGUGAGCAGUGAGGCCCGAGGACCCACAGUGCAAAAGGUUUGAACCGGGUCACUGCACCCCCUUCAUCCUCGAUUUCGUGAUUUAAACGGCACUCAGGACUAACUCAUCUUCCAUUCCCAAGGCCUUUCCUUCUGGUGUCAGCAGAAGGGACUUUGUACUCCAUAACAUAUGUUGCCCAAUGGGCUUUAUCUCAAAAACAAAAAAAGAGAAACAACAAAAAGUUAAAAAGCACUAAGAUGAACUUAAAGUGUAGAGUUUUUAUUAGUCUUCCUUUUGCUUUAUGUUUGUUUACACAAUCAGUGUUGUCAUCCGUUUAAAAUAAUGAGUUAUAAGAUAAUAUUUGCAAGCCUCACGGCAACCUCAAAUCAAAAAGCACACAAUAAGUGAGACCAACAACAAGAGGAAUUCUGGAAACUAUACAUACACGUGAAAAUUAAACAAUAUGGUCCGGAAUGGCCAGUGGUUCAAUGAAGAAAUUAGGAAGGAAAUUUGGCUGGGCACAGUAGCUUACACCUGUAAUCCCAGCACUCUGGGGGGCUGAGGCAGUCAGAUGACCUGAGAUAGGGAGUUCGAAAGCAGCCUGGCCAACAUGGUGAAACUCCGUCUCUACAAAAAAUACAAAAAUUAGCAAAGCAUGGUGGCAUGUGCCUGCAGUCCCAGCUACUAGGGAGGCUGAGAUGGGAGGAUUGCUUGAACCCAGGAAGUCAAGGCUGCAGUGAGCCCUGAUGGCAUCACUGCACUCCAGCCUCGGUGACAGAGCAAGACCCUGUCUCAAGAAA
rnacentral:lncRNA from 1 species